GAAUAUUUGCACGCCUCCGUGCCCCAGAAGUGAGAGAACAACUGUACAAGCAACACUUCGAGGAAGGUGCGAAGCGCCGCUCAGGAUUCCCCUCAUAAAUAGGAGCGCAGCCAGGGAGCCUCAUCAGCGCGGGACAGAGCCGGUUUAGGAACUGGUGUUGGAAGAAAGAAAAAACACGUUUUCCGGCAGAAAUUUGAGCGGGGAUCGGAGAAAUGAAGACUUUAUCUGCAGUGUGUGCUCUCGCCUGCCUGGUGCUCGUAUCUGCCUCAGGUAUAAACUGUCCACCUUUU